AAGAUUUCUUUUUGACUAUGCAUUUUUAUUUUUAUUUUAUUAUAGAUACCUAAUAUAUUGAAUCUAUGGCUCCUCUGCUCUCUAAGGAGAAGAGAGAAUACCAUUUUAAAAGAAAUCAUGUACUUGUUCAAAAGAUCAUUUACUGUUGCUGCCUUGAAAAGAACAACAAAUGCAUUCCAGUUAAUAAAAAUUUGGAAGGUCUGGUUCAAGUUUUCUGUAAGCCUGAGUUUUCACUUAAAGUAUUUGCCUACCCUACAGGAUUAUGCCCAGGUUGCAAGAAAAACUUAUAUCUCCGUAAGUCUGGUAAAACUAUUGCAGACACAGUUACUUUAAAAUGGAAAAAUUCUGAUUUUUCUAGCUUGCAAACCUCUAGAGAUUGCUCGAUAUUAUGCAGUAUAUUCAGUCAAGGAAGAAAUAGAUUAUUAAAUAAAAUUAUGAAAAAGGGAACUAGCUCAACACUGAAAUUUUGCCAAAUAUGUUUCUGUGAAAUUGCUAAAGGUAAACCCCACAAAUGUUCCCCUUUAAAGAGUAGCACAAAUCUUUCUGAGAGUAUUUCUAAAAUUUCUAUAAAAGUAAAAGAACAAGUAGCUUCUUCCCUUCUAAAAAAAAUUUAUUCUGAUCAAGAACAAAGUCUAGAAUUUACCUGUUUCUGAUCAAGAACAAAGUCUAGAUUUUGCCUGUUCUGAGAAUGGCUCAAGCCAUUCUCAGAACAGGUAAAAUAUUGUUAAAUAAAAAUAGCUGUUACGUACGUUUUUAAAAUAACAGUUUAUAUUAUAUUAAGGAGGUAAAAGUAUUCAUAUUACACUCGGUACUCGAGAAAGUGACCAGAGAAAGAUUCUUUAUAAUGAAGUAGAAGUUUUAGUAAAUACCUUAGGACUUAGUCAAUUGAAGUCAAAUGAAAUGUUAAAAACUUUGAGGAGAUGCGGUGUAAAGUUUGAGUCAAACAUGGAGAAAGCCCUGGAUGAAAAAAGUAAACUACUUUCCAACUUUUAUGUCACUGAAUUAUUAGACUUUCAAGAAAAGGAAAAAGAUAAUGACUAUGCUACAGUGAAGAGACACUUGGUAUAUAUUGAAGAUAUUACAACAUUUCUGGAUUUUGUAAUGAAAUAUCGAGGGCAGGUUCCACAAAACACAUUUGUAAAGGUUGGAAUAGAUUCAGGUGAAGGAUCACUAAAAGUUAUAGUAAUUCUGUUUGAUCCAACCAAGGACAGGACAGAAGAUAGCAGCUCCUUAGGAACAUACUCAGGAGCAAGUUUGUCCACGCAUAGAAUAAGUUUUUCAGAAAACGUGACCGCAGCAAUAUUUCGUGGACAAGCGAAACUUAUCCACAGAGAAUAAAAAAUAAUAUUAAAAAAAGGAAACGAAGUCUAAACAAAGUAUAAAAUUGAAAUUGGAUGGUUGCUAUUUUCAGCUACGAAAUUUGAUACAAUUGAAGGAAAAGGCGACAAUAAAUCAUAAAGUUUUUCACGAAAAUAAAGACUUGAUACGUAAUUUAUUCACUAACUUUAUCAGAUAAUGUAUUAAAAAAACUGAUUCAUUAUUUACGCAAGACAAAUUUGAUUAAAUUUUUUCAUUUAAUUUAGUUUUUACGAAAGUUUAUGCAAAGGUGAUGACGUUAUUCCCCAAUACUUAGACAAGAAAAUAAAUUGCUGUUUUAAUUAUUAAAUAUAUUAUUUGAGAUUUUAAUGUGAAAAAAGUUCUCUCUUGACUUAUUCUAAAAUGAUUAUACUGAGUCAAUGCUCGCCUUUUAUUACGUUGAAAUUAUUGAAUUGCAUAAUUUUGUAAUUACGAAAGAAGUUAAAAAAAUAAUUGCA
rnacentral:lncRNA from 1 species